AGUAAACAAUGACGGAGGUAGAGAGCAGCUUCAGAGGAGAAACAUCCAGCAGUGUGAACAAACUCUUCAUAUGUUGUGCUUUGGCUCACACUAUCGCAAUUUCUGAGUGUUGCAUGACUUUGGGUGAGAACAGAGAUGAACACACUGUCAGCCACGUAUUUAUUCUAGUUUUUAGAGCUGCUUUUGUACUGGCACUAUACUGGGGCAGCUGUAUACCCUUUCAACACCUUAUUUUCUAUAUUUACAUUUGUAUUGAAUGGGCACUUUAUCAUGACUGCCACUUGUUUUACAGAAAGCAAAUUAUUUGUCAUUCUCCACUGCAGAGCCUUUACUUUUAUUUAUACAGCCGCUUUAUUUCAUUUAAGUUUGUUUGUUCAAGGUUUUCAAAAAUGUGAUGAAGGUUCGCAAAACUAAAAGAGAGCUUUCUUGAAAGCCACAUGUAUAAGCUCUCAAAUACUUUUUGAAUUUUGUUUCUAUCUACUACAGAGGCCAACUAUUACUAUGGAGGGGUGCUCGCCCGGGGAGUAAUUUAGUCUAGAACCGCCACUGUCAAUUAGAGAAAGGUCUGGAGACUGAGGGGGCCAAACCAUCUUUUAAAGAACACCUCCCUCUUCUUUUUUGUCUAGGUAACCCUGACAGAGUUUGGUAGAGUGCUUAGGGUCAUUGUCUUGCUGCAAAACAAACUUAUGAGCCACAAAUCUUAGUCCAGAUGGAGCAGCAUGGUGCUGGAGGAUGGAGUGGUACUGUUCCUUCUUCUUGAUACCCUUUACUUCAAAAAAAUCUUCUACUCUGUCACCUGCAAAACAUCCCCAUACCAUGGAACUACCACCUCCAUGCUGAAUUAUGGGUGUAACACAUGGUGCUUUCAGACGUUCACCAGUUUGUCUGCGGACAUAGACUCUGCAUUUUGAACCAAACAGUGCAAACUUGUUUCUAGUCAUCAUAAGUCCAAUUUUUGUGAGCUUUUGCCCACUCAUAUCUCUUUUUCUUGUUCUGUGGACGAAGUAGUGUUUUUUUGCAGAUACACAACCCUUCAGACCAGCCUUUCUCAAACGUCAUUUCACGGUUGUCAGAGAUAUGAGUUCUGACCUUGUCAUGUUGAUUUCCUCCCUUAUUUGUGGUGCUGUCUUUCGCCGAUUUCUCUUACUGGUGACAAUAAUAUGUUUAUCCUCUGCUUUUGUAGUAACUCUCUUUCAUCCAGGUCUUUUUCUAUCAUCAUAACUUCCAGGUUCCUCUAGUCUCUUCAGAGUGUAAUGGACUCCUUUGUUAAACACCUUUAGGCGUUUUGCAAUUUCUCUUUCUGUGUAUCCUUCUUAUCCUUCCUAAAUGUAAAAAUCAGUACUUUUGUUUCUUUACUGCGCGUUCUGUUGCCAUGGAGCUGAGUUUGUUUCCUUCCUGCUGCUCAAACAGUGAAAAGUUGUGCUUUAAAAAUGAAGUUAAGACACCGAGAAGGAAAGGAUAGGCAUUACAUAGGCAAGGGCUGACUCAGGCUGACUCAGGCUUUGAAUUCGCAUGACUGUUCCCCUCUUGGUGUAAGCUGAGGAAGCACACUAAGUUUCAGGGAUAUUGGACUAAAAGUCGGUCAAACUGUUUUCUUGUUCCAGCGGAGUUCCAGCGGAUGCACACACCCAGAAGCCCCAGCGACUGCUAAGCAUCGCUGGCUAGAGGCUGAGCGACCUCCGGUUGCCCCAGCGGCAGCUAACAUCACCGGUGGCCCCGGCCGCAGCUUACACCUCAGGUACUAUCUCAGGUUCACAGCUCUGUUUUACGACUGACACAUGAACCCAGAGUCGUCCUCAAUGUCUGCCUCUUUGCUCAGUGUGGCUUGCCUGUAGCCUAGAUCUGUGCUAGAGGAAUUAGUGAACUUAUUCUGGUCAAUAUGGCCAUGAAAAAAAAAAUUGGAGGACAUUAAGAAAUCAUUAGAAAUGCUGCAUCACAAUGUUGAAAUCAUCACCGAGCAACAAAAAAAGAUAAUGGAACUGAUGGACGAUGUCAAAACACUGAAACUACAAAAUGCAGAAAAGGACAAAAGAAUUAGUAAUCUCGAACAUAGAGUGGCUGAUCUCGAACAGUAUUCGAGGAUCAAUGAUGUUGUGAUCUCAGGUCUAAAGACUAAACUACUAUCUUAUGCCAAAUCUGUGGGGAAGGUGACAGAGGAAAACAUGUCAGAAGAAGAUCGGGCAACAGUAGAAGAGCAGGUAGUUUCCUUUCUGGAAACCAGAAAGAUUACUAUAGACCGUAGUUUUAUAGAAGCAUGUCAUCCUCUUCCACAAAGAAAUACCAUCCAACCUCCAGCUAUUAUCCUCAGAUUCACCAACAGAAACCAUAAGAUAUGGCUACUAAAGCAAUGGAAACAAUUAAGAGGAACAAAUGUAUAUGUAAAUGAACACCUGACCAAAAGAAAUGCCGACAUUGCAAAGAAAGCACGGCUCCUUCGUAAACAGGGAAAAAUCCAGUCAACCUGGACCUCCAGCUGCAAGAUUUUCAUAAAGCUCAAUGGCUCACCAGAAGAAGCUAAGGUCAAAAUCAUUAGAGAUCUGACUGAACUAGAUGUCUACCUGUAACCGCGCCAUACUACCUGAAUGAUGAUCUAUGACUGUGUUCUUCUUUGCAUAAUCUUACAAAUUGUGCAUUAUGUCCAACCAUCUUUAUGCUGAUGGGGUGUCUACCCCCCAUGAUACGGAUCCUCUAGCUUUUAAUCCAUUUGACCUAAACUCAGAUAACAGAGGUAUCUACGAUGAAUUUUUCAACCCAGAUAUAAAUCUCUCAAACUCAAACAAUGUAAUUCGAUCAUGUAAAUACUAUUCUGAAGAUCAGUUCAAUGAUCUGUCCCGUACUCUUGCUCCUGAUGACUCUUAUAUCCUAAAUGACUUUUCAGCUUGGCACUUAAAUGUUCGCAGUUUACCAAAAAAUUUUGACAACCUAAAAAUAUACUUAUCAACCCUAACUUUUUCUUUCUCAGUAAUGGCAUUCUCAGAAACCUGGCUUAAGGAUGAUAUCACAGAUCUUUACCCUAUAUCUCAGUAUAAUGCUAUUCAUUCAUGCAGAAGAAAUAAGGUCGGAGGAGGAGUUUCCCUAUAUGUGCUCAAAGACUACAACUUUACCACUAGAAAAGAAAUCUCAGAACCUCUAGAAAACAUACGAGUGGAAUCUGUAUUUAUCGAAAUCUCUUCUUGUCGUCCCCUUCAUGGGAAAAAUAUUAUAAUUGGGUGUGUCUACAGACCUCCUGACACUGACCCAAUUUCAUUCAAUGAGGCUCUUUACUCCUCCCUUGAGUUUAUAACCAAGGAGCAUAAACUGUGUGUUCUUAUGGGUGAUUUCAAUAUCGACCUGCUUAAGAGUGAAUUACCCUCUACCGUUGACUUUCUGAACAAUCUUUACUCAACCUACUUCUUUCCACUGAUUCUCAAACCAUCCAGAAUCACCAAAUCAUCAGCUUCUCUCAUUGACAAUAUCAUAAUCAAUUCACUUGACUAUGAAAUCACCUCUGGGUUGUUAAUAUCUGACAUCUCCGACCACCUCCCCGUAUUCCAGAUCAUACAUACUAAAGGAAAUUAUAAACGCAAAAACUCUGACUACCUGCAAAGCAAAUCUCGCAUCUACAAUAAAAAAAACAUGGAAUCCUUUAAAUCUUCCAUCCGUACAGUGUCCUGGAAUGAGGUCCUCAACUCAUCAGAUGUUAAUGAAGCUUACCAGCUAUAUUUAACUACAUUUGAAUCAAUUCUCGAAGCUAGCUUUCCGCUAGUCACCGCUAUGAAGAGUAACUCAUCCAAAGGAAAUCCCUGGAUGACAGGUGAACUAAAAGAGUACUCUCGUAAAAAAAACAAACUAUAUCGGAAAGCUAUUAACAAUCCUACUCCUGAAAAUAUUGUAAAAUAUAAGAAAUAUAAAAAUAAAUUUACUGCAUCCUUAAGGAAGGUUAAAAAAGCAUAUUAUGCUGAUAAGUUUACUCAAGCUGCCAAUAACAUUAAGUCAACCUGGAACCUCAUCAACCAAUUACUUAAUCGAAAAAAAACUACUGCUACUGUAGCUGUUGAAAUGAUGGGAAAGGAUGGGCCUCUACAUGACCAGAGUGACAUAGCAGAGAGUUUUAAUGAUUUCUUUAUAAACGUCAGUACUUCCUUGGCUUCUAGCAUGAAAGACUCAGAUGUAAAUCCCACAAGUUUCAUGAAAGGCACAUUUUCAACACUCUCUAGUUUUGAUCCUCCCAGUUUAGAAGAGGUCCAUGACAUUGUUAGGAAUUUAAAGGACUCUGCUCAGGGUCACGAUGGUAUUAAAAGCAGUCUUGUCAAAGAAUCUAUAGAUUACAUCAUUCACCCUUUAACCCACAUUCUCUCUUUAUCCCUUCUGUCUGGUAUUGUCCCUCGAGAUCUUAAAAUUGCCAAAGUUACUCCAAUAUUUAAAUCAGGCAAUACAAGAGAUUUUGGCAACUAUCGCCCAAUAUCUGUUCUACCCUGUUUUUCCAAAAUCUUGGAAAAACUAGUCUAUGCGAGAAUCUCCGACCACUUGACGGUUAAUAAUGUUUUGUAUAAUCACCAAUACGGGUUCCGCAAAAAACACUCAACUGAGCAUGCAUUGCUGCAACUUGUCAAUACUGUUUCCUCUGCUCUAGAUGGGAAAAAAGUUGCCCUUGGUGUCUUUCUUGAUUUAAGCAAAGCUUUCGACACUGUCGAUCACAAAAUCCUCAUCUCAAAGCUUAACAGAUAUGGAAUCCAGAAUAUUGCCCUCAACUGGCUGAUCAGUUAUCUAGAUAAUAGAGAACAGUUUGUUCAUCUAAAUGGUGCUUCAUCCACUAAAUCCAGUAUUCUCUUUGGGGUCCCUCAGGGAUCAAUCCUCGGUCCUCUGUUAUUCUUAAUUUAUAUCAAUGACUUACCUAUGUCCUGUAAUAACCUUCUCCCCUUGUUAUUUGCUGAUGACACCUGUUUCAUAGAUGUCCAUGCUGACUUUGAGACUCUCAUUGCCCGUGUGAAUGAUGAAUUGUUCUCUGUUGCUAACUGGUUCCUGACUAAUAAGCUAACUCUUAAUAUAAAAAAAUGUAAUUUCAUGAUCUUCAGCAACAAAAACAAAUCUUAUCCAAAAGAAAAAGCCAAAAUAUCAAUUAAUGGUACUGGAAUCCCUCAAGUACCCCACACCACUUUUUUGGGUGUUGUCGUCGAUGAGGGUCUAAAGUGGAACAUUCAUAUCAGCGAGGUAUGCAAAAGGUCAAUGAAGAGCCUCGGUAUAAUUAGUAAGGUCUGUCCCCUGAUCAAUCCCUCUGCUCAUUUGUCUUUGUACUACAGCUUUCUAUUCCCGUACAUGAACUAUUGUAACAUUGUAUGGUGUGCAACGUAUCCAACUUACCUCAAGAAAAUAUUAAUAAUCCAGAAAA